GCCGACUUAGCUCAACUGGUAGAGCAACUGAUUUGUAAUCAGUAGGUUGCGGGUUCAAGUCCUGUAGUCGGCACCA
rnacentral:tRNA from 1 species